rnacentral:lncRNA from 1 species
AGGGUUCACUUGCAGACAGCAGAGUCUGCCCCGGCUAGUUACACAGAGGAGGAUUGAUUACCGGCUUUCAGUGACUCCCAGCAUCACUGCGGGGGCGGGGGGUGCUGAAGAAAUUGAAGACACUCCAGGCUGCCUCCCAAAGCCACACAGCAGAAAGGGGCCACCAAGAAGCUGAGAUUCUGUCGUCACCGGAGAGCCGCCUGCCUGCAGGCCAGCCCUGCAUGUGACUGUUGCUGCUGCGUGCACACCCGCUCAGUGCUGCCCUUCAUCCCACUUCCCCUCCCCAGCACAGGAAGGCGCCCCAGAGAGAGGCUGGAAUACACACUGUGUGAGCCAGUCUGCAGACUCUGCCAGAUGCCUAUGGAGACAUCCUUGUGAAAUUAGAAUAGCUCUUCUCAGUUUAUUUAUGGAAUCUUCUUGAAGAUCAAAGAUGCAGCACCGCUGUUGGUUUUGGUUUCCCCUAUUAUAACGGAGUCUGAAUGAAAGGUGGAACAACCCUAAGAUCAUAAUGCUGUUGAUUUAAUGUUGGAAGCUCCUCCAAGGAAGGGACCAUGCCAUGCAUUUAUU